rnacentral:rRNA from 1 species
CAGCCGCCGCGGUAAUACGAAGGGUGCAAGCGUUACUCGGAAUUACUGGGCGUAAAGCGUGCGUAGGUGGUGGUUUAAGUCCGUUGUGAAAGCCCUGGGCUCAACCUGGGAAUUGCAGUGGAUACUGGGUCACUGGAGUGUGGUAGAGGAUAGUGGAAUUUCCGGUGUAGCAGUGAAAUGCGUGGAGAUCGGAAGGAACAUCUGUGGCGAAGGCGACUAUCUGGGCCAACACUGACACUGAGGCACGAAAGCGUGGGGAGCAAACAGGAUUAGAUACACCCGUAGUCCCUGUCUCUUAUAC